UGGGGAAUUUUGGACAAUGGGCGCAAGCCUGAUCCAGCCAUUCCGCGUGAGUGAAGAAGGCCUUCGGGUUGUAAAGCUCUUUCGCAAGGGAAGAAAACUUAGUCUCUAACAUAGACUGAGGUUGACGGUGCCUUGAUAAGAAGCACCGGCUAACUACGUGCCAGCAGCCGCGGUAAUACGUAGGGUGCGAGCGUUAAUCGGAAUUACUGGGCGUAAAGCGUGCGCAGGCGGUUUUGUAAGUCAGAUGUGAAAUCCCCGAGCUCAACUUGGGAACUGCGUUUGAAACUACAAGACUAGAAUAUGUCAGAGGGGGGUAGAAUUCCACGUGUAGCAGUGAAAUGCGUAGAGAUGUGGAGGAAUACCAAUGGCGAAGGCAGCCCCCUGAGAUAAUAUUGACGCUCAUGCACGAAAGCGUGGGGAGCAAACAG
rnacentral:rRNA from 1 species